ACCUACGGGGGGCAGCAGUUGGGAAUAUUGGACAAUGGAGGAAACUCUGAUCCAGUGACGCCGCGUGAAGGAAGAAGGUCUUCGGAUUGUAAACUUAUUUUAUCAGGGAAGAAAAAAAUGACUGUACCUGAAGAAGAAGCACCGGCUAACUACGUGCCAGCAGCCGCGGUAAUACGUAGGGUGCAAGCGUUAUCCGGAUUUACUGGGUGUAAAGGGCGAGUAGACGGCGUUGCAAGUCAGAUGUGAAAAUCCGGGGCCCAACCCCGGAACUGCAUUGGAAACUGUAUAUCUAGAGUGUCGGAUAG
rnacentral:rRNA from 1 species